UUUCCGUAGGUGAACCUGCGGAAGGAUCAUUAUUGUAAAACCGAGGUGCGAGGGCUGUCGCUGACCCGAAAGGUCGUGCACGCCCGAGUGCCCUCGCACACAUCCAUCUCACCCCUAUGUGCACCACCGCGUGGGUCCCCCUUUGGCUUGUUCGGAGGGGGGCUUACGUUUUCACACAAACUUUGUAUGCAGUGUAGAAUGUAUUUUUUGUUUUUGCGAUCACGCAAUCAAUACAACUUUCAACAACGGAUCUCUUGGCUCUC
rnacentral:misc_RNA from 1 species